rnacentral:tRNA from 1 species
GGGAGGAUGGCUGAGUGGUUGAAGGUGUCGGUCUUGAAAAUCGAAGGGUAUUAAUUACCUCGCAGGUUCGAAUCCUGUUCCUCUCU